AAUCAAGAUUAUUUUUUUUAAUGCUCCUCUUUUUCCCCCACUAUUGGUCACUUCCCACAUGAUCUGGGAAUAAAAUCAACAAUUAGUAACUGUCUCCUAGCCAACUGUUAUCUUUUCUUUGUUCCAUCGAUCAUCUUUUAUUUUUAGGUCAUAUGGCAGAAUACAGAUGAUUAGCCGAUUGUCCAAAGUUCAGACAAAUUGAAAUUCUAUAGAAAUUGAAUACACGACUAAUGAGCAAUAUGGCAGCAGUAAAUAUGUGUCUGAACAAAGCAUGGAAAAUAAAUGUAACUUAACUAGAAUCUCAGUCAUUCCGUUGUACACAAAUACCCUCUAAAUUUUCAUUGCAAAAAGCGGUAUCAGUGAAGUUACUUUUACCCGGCGUGAUUUUAUCCAUUUAGAAAAGGUGAAGGACCAGACACUAAUAAAUAAGUUCAAUUUAAUAAGUUUGAACUUGACAAAAGCUAGUUUAAACAGCUUUCCAUGUCUUAAAUUUCAUUAAAGGGUGUGACAACAUGACAGUAAGGUGUAUGGAACGACAUCCGAAUCCCUUCACCUGAAAAGAAACUCAAUUGGUAUAAUUGUCUGUGACUAAUGGCUGUCAAAACAACAAAUAUAACAAAAAAUGAUGUCAGAUGCUUUGUCAAUAUGUCAUAACACCAAAAAUAUUUCACUGUAGGUUAUGCUUCCCAUGGUGAUAUGAGUUUACAGGUAUUCUCUUUGUGAGGCACAACGUUCUUUUAAAAUCUCACCUUUCUAACUGUUGCAAUAUUAUAAUUAAAAUGUCCUCAUUCCCAGGUCUUGGGGCAGUAGUGUUCUACUUGUGGGAACCCUGAGAUUAAUAAUGGCCCAUUAGCAAUCUUGUAUUACACAUAAUAUGGUAUUUUGGAAAUAUAAUUAUUUUUUUUUUUAAAUAAACCCACAUGACUUAAAUCAUGUCACGCUUAUGCGUUCCACGUGCCUAUGUCGUAGCCUGUGAAUCAACGGCACCCUAGAUAGCUCUGCAUACUUCAGCCAAGUUGUUGAUUUCCUUGGGGUCUUUUACAUCUUUGCUGUAGCUAAACUAAUCCCAGGCGUUGCUAGUGACUUGAUGCUGUCAUUUUCUCCUGAGGAGAAGUUGUAUCAAUUUUUCACUGCUUUUUAAAUCUCCACCACCGUGUCGCCAAGCAUUAAAUGCCCUACUUUUAAGGUUAAGUAGAUUUUUGUGGCAACCAAAUGCUGUGACGUAAAAUAAUCUGUUUGUUCGCAGCGUCUUGAAAAGAAAAAUUGUAUCAAAUGGCAGUAUUUCUUUAUGGUAUUUUUAUUAACUCACCAUCUUUGAGUUCAUAGAAAUGCAGAAGAAAUAUUUCUCAUGAUAUUGAUUUUUGGAUCAUUAUUACAGGAUCGUGAGGACUGUCCUUUGGUAUUCGACCUCACCGCACAGGGAUUACAGAAGAUUAUUAUACAGUUUCUGAGAAUGAGAACUAGAUAUGCUCAUUUUAAUUCUAAGUGGAUGCUUCAAUCAUUUUCAAACAGUUUGUGACUCACCGAGAGCUCCCUCACACAGACCAAUUCAUAUGCAUUCAUUUUACUAGUUUGUUAUACAUUUUAUGUGAAAACAUCUUCAUGCUAAUCAGUGGAGAUACAGAAAAAAAAAUGUUCAUUUUCUUAAAGGUGAAUUUGUGUUGACUUAAAUUGUCAAUUCCUUUUUCAAUUCUCUGUAAUGCUCAGUAUAGUGAAUAAACCCCAAUGUUUUAACAGUUCAGUUACAUAGCUGAAAAUUGACUUGCGUGCAUCAAGUUCAGCCUUCCUCACAUUUGUUUUUUGCUGUUUGAUCCAAAAGAAGGCAAAAAAAAACAGUUUGAAGCACAAUUUUGCAACAAGCUAGGAAAAAAAUUCAUUCUUGACCCCAGAAUGGCAAUUAGAUUUAUCCUUGGAUCAAGCAGUUAUUACCCUACAAAGAUUAUAUCCUUGAAUAUUCUGUUUUUGCAAGUAUGCAUCUAGUAGCUGUUUGAACAUCUGUAUGGACUCUGAUAAAACCACUUCUUCAGGCAGAGAAUUCCACAUCCUGAUUGUUCUUACAGUAAAAAAACCUUUCCUUUGCCUUAGACGAAAUCUUCUUUCUUCCAGUCUAAACGCAUGGCCUCGUGUCCUAUGUAAAGUCCGGUUUGUGAAUAGAUUUCCA
rnacentral:lncRNA from 1 species